GCCUGGAUGGCUCAGUCAGAAGAGUGUGAGAUUCUUGAUCUCAGAGUUGUGAGUUCAAGCCCCACGUUGGGUG
rnacentral:tRNA from 1 species